rnacentral:rRNA from 1 species
UACGUAGGGUGCAAGCGUUGUCCGGAAUUAUUGGGCGUAAAGGGCGGGUAGGCGGCCACCGCAAGUCGACUGUGAAAUCUCCGGGCUUAACCCGGAAAGGUCAGCCGAUACUGCGGGGCUAGAGUGCAGAAGGGGCAACUGGAAUUCUCGGUGUAGCGGUGAAAUGCGUAGAUAUCGAGAGGAACACCUGCGGCGAAGGCGGGUUGCUGGGCUGACACUGACGCUGAACUGCGAAAGCUAGGGGAGCGAACGGG